rnacentral:antisense_RNA from 1 species
GUUUUGAUACACUUAUAAGGCUAGCGACAAAUGGUGCAACCUGUGAUGCUGGGCAGCAGCUGAGAACUACAGCUCCCAGUCAGCCACAUGAUCACGAGGAUAAACAACUGAUACUCUGCAGUGUGAUGUGUGCCAGGUGAUUUUGCUAAUUGUGGGCUAAUGGCUGCUGGAAUUUAUGAUCUCCUACCAAAACUGAAGUAACCGUAACUCUUACUAUGGGAAACU